AGCAGCAGAUACUGGCACCAGAUUUCCUGUAGAGCCUGCAUAACCAUGAGCCAAUUAAACCUCUUUUCUUUAUGGAUUACCCAAGCUCAGGUUCUACCCUGGAGAGUGUUCCAUAUGCACUUGAGAUUAUUAUGUAUUCUGCUGUGUUGGAUGGACUGUUCUAUAGUUGUCUAUUAAGUCUAGUUGUUUUGUAAUGUAAUUUAAGUCGUUUAUAUCUAUGUUUAUUUACCAUUUCUAUAUGUUUUUAUGUAGUUACUAUAUUUGAUGUUUUUGUUUUCUUUAUUCAGAGUCACAUCUUUAGUAUGAUUUUCUAUCUGAGAAGUGUUCUUUAUUAUUUUCUAUAGUGUGUGUCUGCAGGUCAUGAAUAGUGCAAGUAUAUUUAUGGUUAAAACCAUUUUAUUUUGCCUUCCCUUCUGAAAGAUAUUUUCACUGAGUAAAGAAUUCAGAAUUGACAGUUUUUUUUAAUUUAAAGAACAUGUUUUACUGAUACAUUAUAAUUGUAUAUGUUUAUGGGGUAUACGUGCUAUUUUGAUGCAUGAAUACAGUAUGUAAGGAUCGAAUUAGUGUUUAGGAUAUCCAUCACCUUGAGCAUUUGUCAUUUCUAUAUGUUGGGAAUAUUUCAAAUCUUCUAUGUAUUUUGAAAUGUACAAUAAAUUAUGUUAACUAUGUUCACUCUGCUGUGUGAUA